rnacentral:lncRNA from 1 species
AAACUUUCCAGGAUAGCUUGGUAUGGUAGAAUCUUCUAUAUGCAUAAGAUCUAUGGUUAAUGACCUGUGUGAUUUCGUGACUAUCUACAUAAAAGAAGUCAGAAAUUCAUGGGUAAAUAGACAAAACUGCAACAUCUGAUAAAAAAUGUUGGUAAACCGAAAUGCAAGUAAAGGCCUUUUACGAUGUUUAACUAUUGGUCCUCAAUGUUAACUAAAUUUGGAUCGAUAAUAG